AGUUCAAUGCGAGCUGAGCAGACAGGGCUGCAAGGAAAUCUGGCGCGGUUCAAUACCUCGUCUAGCCUGGGUUCCAGUAUCUAAUUUUUUUUUUGUUUUAACUGACAAACUCAUUUCUCUACUGGGACAGGAUGCUGUGCUGGCUGGAAGUUCCAUUUCUACAGCAAGAAUCCUAUCUGGAAACACAGAAGUUGUCCUCUAGCCACAGCAGCUCGAACUUUUUUGAUUGUCGUUGCUGCUUUCUCCCAUCACCCCCAUCCCCUUUUGACAAAGAUCCAACUGUAAAAAGUCUUACGUAACAGUUCAGGACUACUUCGGUUCUUUUACUGGAUCAUAUAAAUCUUUCGCCUUUUAAAUCAUGUAUUAAAAAAAAAGAAAAAGGAAAAACAAAGAUUUCUUUUAGAUGCAGAAUCUACCUACAUUCGGCUGAAAAUCAGAUGGAAGAAUCCACAGAGGAAAGGAAGGAAAGGCGAACUGUCCUGUGGAAAGCACAGCUGCAGGGAUAGUAGAAAGUAACAGGCUCUCGAUCCGUGGGAGGUGGUCACUUUGGAGGACAGAUAAGUCAUCCUCAGAGAACGAACACAAUGAAGGAAAUUCCAGCCUAUUCAUGUUCUCCUCUCAGGCUGUACCUCAACAAGAUCCAACUGGACUUUGUGAUCUCAUAACCUGUCAAGGGGCCUGGCAUGGAGUAGAUAAUAAAUGUUUUUUUUAAUCAAA
rnacentral:lncRNA from 10 species